rnacentral:rRNA from 1 species
CCUACGGGCGGCAGCAGUGGGGGAUAUUGCACAAUGGGGGGAACCCUGAUGCAGCGACGCCGCGUGGGUGAAGAAGCGCCUCGGCGCGUAAAGCCCUGUCAGCAGGGAAGAAAAUGACGGUACCUGAAGAAGAAGCCCCGGCUAAAUACGUGCCAGCAGCCGCGGUAAUACGUAGGGGGCAAGCGUUAACCGGAUUUACUGGGUGUAACGGGGGCGCAGAGGGCGAUGCAAGCCAGGAGUGAAAGCCCGGGGCGCAACCCCGGGACUGCGCUUGGAACUGCGUGGCUGGAGUGCAGGAGAGGCAGGCAGAAUUCCUGGUGUAGCGGUGAAAUGCGUAGAUAUCAGGAGGAACACCGGUGGCGAAGGCGGCCUGCUGGACUGCAACUGACGUUGAGGCCCGAAAGCGUGGGGAGCAAACAGGAUUAGAUACCCGAGUAGUC